rnacentral:other from 1 species
CUUGUCCUGCGCUGUUCGCGGACCGCGUCUUAUAUAACCCUACAACAUUAUAAUUAGGGGCCAAAGCUAAUACGGCGGAUUGCAGACCUCCCGCGGCUGUGCCGAGUUCGGAAGAAGGGAGCGUGAAGCCGUGCGGCCGGCACCCACCUGCUUUAACGCAGGUUAUUUUAAGCGCAUUACGGCAGGGCGGGACAGCU